GGGUUACCUUGUUGAAGUUGCCAUCCAAAGUUGGUUUUCCUUGUUUCCUCGAGUUAGCAAGGAAGGACCUGGGAGGACUAGAUGACCCAGUUUGGGGCACAGUUUGUUUGGCUUGGUGUCCUCUCGACUCAGAUGGUGAAAGAGAGGGCAUGACCAACAUCUUUAAGGGGCUGAGAGGCUACUGAACUCUUCCAGCUUAUUUCUGGUUAAGCUAACACAGGUGUGAUACGGAGUAGAUGACUUCCCUGCUCUGAUGUUUAGUUUUAUUUUUUUCUCUAACUUGCAUUGAUUCUGCUUCGUUUUUGCCGUUUGCCGCUUCUGUUUUGGUCUCUGUCUGUCUCUGUGUCUCUUUCUGUCUCUCUCUCUCACUCUCUCUGUGUCUUUGGAGGCUAAGCUAAGACUGCCCCAUCUAACCUCCUUCCCCCCUCUCUGUGGGGUGUCUCUCUUUCUCUUUUUUUUCCCUUUUUCUUCUUUAUACAGAGCUCGCUGCCCAAAUCAUUCAAGAGGAAGAUCUCCGUUGUCUCUACCAAGGGGGUGCCAGCUGGAAACAGUGACACAGAGGGGGGCCAGCCUGGUCGGAAACGACGCUGGGGAGCCAGCACAGCCACUACACAGAAGAAACCUUCCAUCAGUAUCACCACUGAAUCACUAAAGAGCCUCAUCCCCGACAUCAAACCCCUGGCGGGGCAGGAGGCUGUUGUGGAUCUUCAUGCUGAUGACUCUCGCAUCUCUGAGGAUGAGACAGAGCGUAAUGGCGAUGAUGGGACCCAUGACAAAGGGCUGAAAAUAUGCCGGACAGUCACUCAGGUAGUACCUGCAGAGGGCCAGGAGAAUGGGCAGAGGGAAGAAGAGGAAGAAGAGAAGGAACCUGAAGCAGAACCUCCUGUACCUCCCCAGGUGUCAGUAGAGGUGGCCUUGCC
rnacentral:sRNA from 1 species